AAAUUGAAGAGUUUGAUCAUGGCUCAGAUUGAACGCUGGCGGCAGGCCUAACACAUGCAAGUCGAGCGGAAACGAGUUAUCUGAACCUUCGGGGAACGAUAACGGCGUCGAGCGGCGGACGGGUGAGUAAUGCCUAGGAAAUUGCCCUGAUGUGGGGGAUAACCAUUGGAAACGAUGGCUAAUACCGCAUGAUGCCUACGGGCCAAAGAGGGGGACCUUCGGGCCUCUCGCGUCAGGAUAUGCCUAGGUGGGAUUAGCUAGUUGGUGAGGUAAGGGCUCACCAAGGCGACGAUCCCUAGCUGGUCUGAGAGGAUGAUCAGCCACACUGGAACUGAGACACGGUCCAGACUCCUACGGGAGGCAGCAGUGGGGAAUAUUGCACAAUGGGCGCAAGCCUGAUGCAGCCAUGCCGCGUGUGUGAAGAAGGCCUUCGGGUUGUAAAGCACUUUCAGUCGUGAGGAAGGUAGUGUAGUUAAUAGCUGCAUUAUUUGACGUUAGCGACAGAAGAAGCACCGGCUAACUCCGUGCCAGCAGCCGCGGUAAUACGGAGGGUGCGAGCGUUAAUCGGAAUUACUGGGCGUAAAGCGCAUGCAGGUGGUUUGUUAAGUCAGAUGUGAAAGCCCGGGGCUCAACCUCGGAAUAGCAUUUGAAACUGGCAGACUAGAGUACUGUAGAGGGGGGUAGAAUUUCAGGUGUAGCGGUGAAAUGCGUAGAGAUCUGAAGGAAUACCGGUGGCGAAGGCGGCCCCCUGGACAGAUACUGACACUCAGAUGCGAAAGCGUGGGGAGCAAACAGGAUUAGAUACCCUGGUAGUCCACGCCGUAAACGAUGUCUACUUGGAGGUUGUGGCCUUGAGCCGUGGCUUUCGGAGCUAACGCGUUAAGUAGACCGCCUGGGGAGUACGGUCGCAAGAUUAAAACUCAAAUGAAUUGACGGGGGCCCGCACAAGCGGUGGAGCAUGUGGUUUAAUUCGAUGCAACGCGAAGAACCUUACCUACUCUUGACAUCCAGAGAACUUUCCAGAGAUGGAUUGGUGCCUUCGGGAACUCUGAGACAGGUGCUGCAUGGCUGUCGUCAGCUCGUGUUGUGAAAUGUUGGGUUAAGUCCCGCAACGAGCGCAACCCUUAUCCUUGUUUGCCAGCACUUCGGGUGGGAACUCCAGGGAGACUGCCGGUGAUAAACCGGAGGAAGGUGGGGACGACGUCAAGUCAUCAUGGCCCUUACGAGUAGGGCUACACACGUGCUACAAUGGCGCAUACAGAGGGCAGCCAACUUGCGAAAGUGAGCGAAUCCCAAAAAGUGCGUCGUAGUCCGGAUUGGAGUCUGCAACUCGACUCCAUGAAGUCGGAAUCGCUAGUAAUCGUGGAUCAGAAUGCCACGGUGAAUACGUUCCCGGGCCUUGUACACACCGCCCGUCACACCAUGGGAGUGGGCUGCAAAAGAAGUAGGUAGUUUAACCUUCGGGAGGACGCUUACCACUUUGUGGUUCAUGACUGGGGUGAAGUCGUAACAAGGUAGCGCUAGGGGAACCUGGCGCUGGAUCACCUCCUUAUACGA
rnacentral:rRNA from 1 species